CAUGCGUUGGCGUAUAUUUUGGUCACGGAUUUGUUUGCUAGGCGAUCGAACUCAAAGGAAGUCAGGCUUAAAAUCCAGUCUACUUUGCUUGAGAAAAGGGUCAAGUCACGUUUGUGAGUGACCUUUACCUUGAUAGGGACCAGGUAUCAAUAUAAAUACAGAAAGCCAAAGCGGCUUCUUUAAAGUUUAAACCUUUACUAGCGCUUUGAGCACAAUUUCUUAACUCAAGUCUAGUCAAAAUGUGCAUGAAAGUGAAAUGCAGCAAAUGCGGAAAAUUUACUUGGCAAGGAUGUGGCCAACAUGCAGAACAAGUAUUGGCAGGUGUUCCUCCAGACCAGAGAUGUAAAUGUCCUAGGAAAUAAAUAGUUUUUAGACAGGACAUGCUGGCUGACAUUA
rnacentral:sRNA from 1 species